rnacentral:lncRNA from 1 species
AUGAGCUGCUGGACCGCCUCCUUCUCCGAGCCUGCUAGGCUUAAGGCGCCAAUUUCCACAUAUGCGCCCAUUACCAAGGUCGAGGGCUUCUCUGACUUGGGCUGGCCAUCCGUUCCUCCACUGGAGCCGGACUUGGCCUCGCUGUGUGGCGCCAAGAACCACCUCACUGGCCCGCGAGCAGUUCCCGCUUCUAAGCAUGACCAGCUGCUGACGCGGCUGACCAAUCAUGCACACCAGUGCGCCUUCCAGACCGGCGCUGCAGGAAAUAACAUCGCCCUUCUAACCUUUGGCGUUUCCAAAAUGGUGGAAGAGCUUGAUGUUCCUGACGAGUCAAAAACCAUCAUUACCAAAACUGCUGGUGCCAUUCUCAAUCUGUGCGCUGCUGUACUCACCGGUUCUGCUCGCAUUGCUGCCUGGCAGACCCUUAUCCAGCGGGCCUUGUGGCUCAAGGCCCUGCCCUCCAUUCCUGAUCACCUGCACAGGGAGAUGCUGGAAGGCCCCAUCACUUCUGACGUUCUGUUUGGUCCCCAUCUUACGAGCGUCAUCGAGAGGGCUCAGAAGGCGGCUGAACUGUCAGCCACGGUGCGAGACCUGGUCCACUCUCGGUCAGCCUCGCACUCCGGCAAUUCCUCCAGAGGAUGGGACGAACGGCGCGGAAACUUCAGGCGCCCAGCUGCACCGCCCGCCCCGCGGAGCCGGCCUCCCGCUUCAGCUCCACCUCAGCGGGACCAGGGAGUUGGCGGCCAACGGUUCCGAAAGAGCCAGCAGACGCCAUCUUGGCAGUCACAGGUGCAGGAACCUCGCCGAAAACAACCACGAAAACGACUCGUUGGGAGGGAUGUGUGUGCUUAUGACUGUAAUGUUAACUCUGUGAAUGAUUUUGGUUUUGAAAUAAAACCCAAAAAACGUCACAUUGAGAGCUCAAUCCUACAGGCCUCUGCAGAACCCUCUGCCGAAUCCUCACACAUGUUCCCCACACCAAGCACUGCAACACAUCUGCAUGUUCCCGCAGUCCGUCAUAUUACACGGCCAGCUGUAAGGGUGCGCUCCAUUUGCGCACCGACCCCAGCCUCCGGCCAGGCCCAACUCAUCCCGCUUCCACCACAACGUUGGGUGGGACGGGAUGUCAUGGCGCUGUCGUGA